CCUACGGGAGGCAGCAGUGAGGAAUAUUGGUCAAUGGACGAGAGUCUGAACCAGCCAAGUAGCGUGAAGGAUGACUGCCCUAUGGGUUGUAAACUUCUUUUAUAUGGGAAUAAAACGUUCCACGUGUGGGAUUUUGUAUGUACCAUAUGAAUAAGGAUCGGCUAACUCCGUGCCAGCAGCCGCGGUAAUACGGAGGAUCCUAGCGUUAUCCGGAUUUAUUGGGUUUAAAGGGAGCGUAGGUGGAUUGUUAAGUCAGUUGUGAAAGUUUGCGGCUCAACCGUAAAAUUGCAGUUGAAACUGGCAGUCUUGAGUACAGUAGAGGUGGGCGGAAUUCGUGGUGUAGCGGUGAAAUGCUUAGAUAUCACGAAGAACUCCGAUUGCGAAGGCAGUUCACUGGACUGCAACUGACACUGAGGCUCGAAAGUGUGGGUAUCAAACAGGAUUAGAUACCCCUGUAGUC
rnacentral:rRNA from 1 species